CCAAUAGCGUAUAUUAAAGUUGUUGCAGUUAAAAAGCUCGUAGUUGAAUUUCGGGAUCAGAUUGUCGGUCGUGCCUCGGUACGCACUGGCAUUAUUGGUUCCUACCUUCUGAAGAACCGCGAUGUCAUUAAUUUGGUGUCGUGGGGAAUCAGGACUGUUACUUUGAAAAAAUUAGAGUGUUUAAAGCAGGCGCACGCUUGAAUACAUUAGCAUGGAAUAAUGAAAUAGGACGUUUGAUUCUAUUUUGUUGGUUUCUAGGAUCGACGUAAUGAUUAAUAGGGAUAGUUGGGGGCAUUAGUAUUCAAUUGUCAGAGGUGAAAUUCUUGGAUUUAUUGAAGACUAACUACUGCGAAAGCAUUUGCCAAGGAUGUUUUCACUAAUCAAGAACGAAAGUUAGGGGAUCGAAGACGAUCAGAUACCGUCGUAGUCUUAACCAUAAACUAUGCCGACUAGGGAUCGGAUGAUGUUAAUUUUUUAAUGACUCAUUCGGCGCCUUACG
rnacentral:rRNA from 1 species